GCAUCUUAAUUUCCCCAACAUCCCCAGCUAAAGAUGAUGCAAUGGGAGCCUCUUUUUCUGGCCACAUCAUACGUUAAAGCACCGUGAUGCCGGUUCGAACAGCUCUUGUUCCCAGAAAUCUGGGAGCUGUAGUUUGUUAUAAGGGUGCUGAGAACUGGAGGAGAGACACCCCUCCCCCCAAAUUCCCCCUUGCAGAGCUACAAUUCCCAGAGUUUUCUGUGAAGUGGGAUUGAAAGUUAAACUAGCUCUAUGAUGGAGAACCAGGAUCUCUCCUGACAAUGCUGGGCACCCUUAAUAACAUUAAUUUGGGUAAAACGGUCCCAGAUUAUUAAAGACCUUAUGGUAACAACUUGAACUCGGGCCUGGUAGUAAUUCAGCAACUGGUGGAGGUCGCUGAGCAGGUUCUGCAUUGCAGAAAUGUAUUGUUCUUUUUGUUGGUUUUGCAGGACCCACAUUUUAGGGGGCAGAUUUUGCUUUAUGACCGAAAUUGGCAGAGCAGGGAAGGCAUUCUUUCAACCUUCUUGGUGGCCCUGCCUUGGAGCACAGAUGGGAUAAGUAGACAGUGAGAAGCAGAGGAUUCUGGGAAGGAACCGUGCAGAAGAUCCUGAACGAGGAGGACGCCCUCAGCUCAGAUGCUCAGCCCCAGCACUUCAGACGGUUUCUCUGCCACGGCCUGCCGAAAGAGAUGGAGAACUGGGUGAGGGAACAUGGAGCAGAGACCGGUUCCCAGGCGGUGGCCCUGGCCGAAGGUUUCCUCUCGAGCCGAGCAGAAGACGUGAAGCAGGAGGAGGAACAGCAGGGAUUAUUUGCAGAAGAAGCAGUGAACUUUCCUGAGGCAGAGGAGGACCCAUCAGACCCGGGCAGAUGCCUCUCUCGAAAUGGUGGAUCAAGCAGGAGGAGGAAGACGAAGGCGCUCCUUCGUUGGGAGAAGGACUGAGGAUUAUUGUGGUGUGUCCUCCCUCGCCCCUUCCUGAUGGCGGAGUGGAAGCACCUUCUGUGCCUCUGGAACAGGUAAGAGAAGAGGCUGCAGGUGAGUCUGGCUGCCUCUGUGUCCUGCACAACUCACUGGGCCUGGAAAAAUUGUGGGAAUGUCGUGGAUAGCAAGAGAGGAUAUAUUGAUGAAAUAUUAUCCUUCCUCACUCACUGCUAGUGAGUCAGUAGCAGAGUACAUUCUCCCAGUAUAGUGCGGAAACUAGUUGGGUAGAUUCGUUUGAAUCUCUUUACUUAAGCAAUCCAAUCUAGGUUGUCCAGACUGGGUUUUGUUUCCUGGUAAAUUUCCCCUUCUUCUUUGUUUUAUUUCAUCUUGAUGUAAUUUUGUGUCUGCGGCUUCUCAGCCCGCAGCACAUGGGCUCAUUCCCAUAUGGGAUGAACUCAAACUCUG
rnacentral:lncRNA from 1 species